rnacentral:rRNA from 1 species
GUCCACGCCGUAAACGAUGGAUACUAGCUGUUCGGAGCAAUCUGAGUGGCUAAGCGAAAGUGAUAAGUAUCCCACCUGGGGAGUACGGGCGCAAGCCUGAAACUCAAAGGAAUUGACGGGGGCCCGCACAAGCGGUGGAGCAUGUGGUUUAAUUCGAUGAUACGCGAGGAACCUUACCAAGGCUUAAAUGUAGAUUGACCGGUUUGGAAACAGAUCUUUCGCAAGACAAUUUACAAGGUGCUGCAUGGUUGUCGU